AUCUGACGGUUCUGGUGACUCUCGAUUUUGAUCUAAUGGCUGAGGAAGCUGGCGGUGAUCUGGAAAAUUUGAUCGGGAGCGAUCAAGCGGCUUAGAAGGCUUGCAGCAUGGAUCGCACGGUUCAGAUGCUUCUGGAGUCUGAUUCCAAUAUAGUUUGGGUUUUGGGGCUAUAAAUAGUCCUGUGGAUGAAACAGAGAGUGGAACCAAGGUAGCGGC
rnacentral:lncRNA from 1 species